GUCCAGGUCUGGACACACCAGCCCCGGUGUGCUCUGCGAGGCCAGCCUCUCCUGGACGCUAGCUGUGCCUCCUGACACCGCACCCCCAAGCCCACCAUGCUUCACUCGCAAUUGAGUGAACAUUUGGUUAGAGUCCUUCCAAUGAAUAUUCAGGACUGAUUUCCUUUAGGAUGGACUGGUUGGAUCUCCUUGCAGUCCAAGCGACUCUCAAGAGUCUUCUCCAACACCACAGUUCAAAAAGUAUCAAUUCUUCAGUGCUCAGCUUUCUUUAUAGUCCAACUCUCACAUCCAUACAUGACCACUGGAAAAACCAUAGCUUUGACUAGACAGAUCUUUGUUGGCAAAGUAAUGUCUUUGUUUUUUAAUAUGCUGUCUAGGUUGGUCAUAGCUUUUCUUCCAAGGAACAAACUGAAAAACCCUAGUUCCGGGAGUUGGUGAUGGACAGGGAACCCUGGUGUGCUGCAGUCCAUGGGGUCGCAGAGAAUCAGACACGACUGAGCAACUGAACUUGGUUAGAGUCCAGGCUUGGCAUUUCCCAUCCACUCCUGUUUUUUAGGAAGUGGUUUUGGUUUUCAUUUUUUAAGUAAUUUUUACCUUAAAAAACUGAAGUGUGGCUGUGAAGCCUCUUGGAUUUGGCAUCUGGAGUGAAAAUUCCAGUGCUGGCGUUUCCACCUAAGUCAGCGUAGGGGCUGGCCUCCCCACCAGGCCUUGUAGGGUGGGCGGUCUGCAGUGACCCUGGGCCUGGCCAAGUCGGGAGGGGUGGGAGACAAUGAGGAGGUGGUGCCUGGCAUUCAGGGAUAAAUGGAAUCUGCUGGACCUCGUCCUCCUGAGCCUGAGCCCUGUCGCUCUCACGGCCCCUCCCCUGCAGCCUUGGCCACAGCUGUGUCUGUCCUGUCCCUCCUCCAGGGUCAGCUGCUUCUCCUUCCAAGGACCCCCUUGCCAGCUUGGCUUCCAGCCUUGGCCCAGUCCGCAUGGCCUCCUGAGACCCAAGACUCUGAUUCCCAGCAUCCCUUGUAGCAGGCCAUGUCUGAGUGCACGUACUCGGGGAGGGGUGCUGCACGGCCUCUUUAGCUGCCCUAUGGGCUCAGUGCUGACUGCAGGCUGACCUGAGGUCCAGAGCUGGACACCGGCCAGGAUGGGGAUCUCGGUGAGGAGGACACGGGGAACCGGAGAUAGCGCCCUGCAGAGCGACUUGCAGGACCCGCUGUGGCACCCACGAGGCACUCCUGCAGGGACAGAACUCUGAUCGGCACAAGAGUGGGGGCCGGUGUUCACCCACUGGGCCCAGCUCCUGCAGGUGCUCCUUGCAGGGGAGGCGUGAAGAGGGCCAUACUGGGUGCGGUCAUCACAGGGGGAAAGGGCGGCCGCCACUGGGUUGGACCUCAGCCCUCCCCUCUGCUCAGUCUCUGCCCUCUCCCAACCCCCCUGGGGUCCCCUCCCCAUUACUCCAUCUUUCUCCCUCCUCCUCCUGAGAGCUGUAGUGAGUUGCUUGGAAAUGAGCAGUUGCCUCAGUGGUGUCUGGCUCUGUGACCCCAUGGACUGUAGUCCGUCAGGCUCCUCUGUCCAUGGGACAUUCCAGGCGAGAAUAUUGGAGAAGGUUGCUGUGCCCUCCCCCAGGGUAUCUUCCCUGGAGUCGCACAGGGUCCCCCAAAUUCAUGUCAGGGAACCUCAAUGCGAAACGGUCUCAGCUGAUGUCACUAGUGAAGAUGGGGUCACCCUGGGUAGGGUGGCCCUUAAUGCAGUGACCUGUGUCCAUGUAAGGAGGAGAGUGCCAGAGACAGGGCUGUGGGCUGUGCCAGGGUCACCUGCAGGCUCCAGAAGCUGCAGGAGACACAGAGAGGUCAGAGAACCAGUCCUGCCCACACCUUCAUCUUCGACUUUGGCCUCUAGACCCAGAGAGAGCGGACAUUUGCUGUUCAAGACGCCUGGGGCCCCUCCCAGGAGCUCGCAGCCUCACAGCUUGGGUGAGUCCCACCACCCUUGCCCCAGAGGAGGCAGACCCCGCACAGAGGUCCUGCCUGUCGGGGCCCCUGGGUCUGGGCCCAGCAGCCAUCUCAGGCUGCAUUUUAGCCAAACCGCGGUGUCACUUUCUGGAUUUGGGUGAGGGGUCCUGCCCUGGAUCUGCUGGGAGCCCAUGGGGAAGUGCAUGGGGUACCUGAACUACAGCCGCUCCCUCCAG
ensembl:lncRNA